CCUACGGGUGACAGCAGUGAGGAAUAUUGGUCAAUGGGCGCGAGCCUGAACCAGCCAAGUAGCGUGAAGGAUGACGGCCCUAUGGGUUGUAAACUUCGUUUAUAAAGGAAUAAAGUGAGGCACGUGUGCGAUUUUGUAUGUACCAUAUGAAUAAGGAUAGGCUAACUCCGUGCCAGCAGCCGCGGUAAGACGGAGGAUCCGAGCGUUAUCCGGAUUUAUUGGGUUUAAAGGGCGCGUAGGUGGGUUGUUAAGUCAGUUGUGAAAGUUUGCGGCUCAACCGGAAAAUUGCAUUUGAUACUGGUAGUCUUGAGUGCAGUUGAGGUAGGCGGAAUUCGUGGUGUAGCGGU
rnacentral:rRNA from 1 species